rnacentral:rRNA from 1 species
GACGAACGCUGGCGGCGUGCUUAACACAUGCAAGUCGAACGGUAAGGCCCUUCGGGGUACACGAGUGGCGAACGGGUGAGUAACACGUGGGUGAUCUGCCCUGCACUUCGGGAUAAGCCUGGGAAACUGGGUCUAAUACCGGAUAGGACCCUGGGAUGCAUGUCCUGGGGUGGAAAGCUUUUGCGGUGUGGGAGGGGCCCGCGGCCUGUCAGCUUGUUGGUGGGGUGAUGGCCGACCAAGGCGACGACGGGUAGCCGGCCGGAGAGGGUGACCGGCCACACUGGGACUGAGAUACGGCCCAGACUCCUACGGGAGGCAGCAGUGGGGAAUAUUGCACAAUGGGCGCAAGCCUGAUGCAGCGACGCCGCGUGAGGGAUGACGGCCUUCGGGUUGUAAACCUCUUUCAGCACCGACGAAGCGCAAGUGACGGUAGGUGCAGAAGAAGGACCGGCCAACUACGUGCCAGCAGCCGCAGUAA